rnacentral:lncRNA from 1 species
CUUUGGAGGGAGGAGAGCUGCCGAAGGAAAAUAUACUAAUAAGCCAGAGGCAAAGGAGGCACUUAGUAACAAGAAAUCUUCUGGAAAAAAAACUUAGGAAUCAGAUUCUAGCAAAGAUAUAAGCUGGAAUUUUCAAGCUCUGUUGUUUUCAGAGGUUGUAAGGACAUUUCAGAGCCUCCUACUCUGAGAGUUCUCACAGUCCUGGGCGGCAUUCACACAAACAGGUGCCGUGUUUUGGAGUAGUGUGUCUGGUACCUGUCACCUUUAACCAACAAUUACUGAGCACCUACUGGGUGCCAGAUACUCCGCCAGGCUCUGAGAGGACAGAAAUGCGUAACACACAAUUCCUGCUCUCAAGGAGGCCUUUCAAGAAGAAGAGAGUAGAAAAAAUUCACACAUUUCCCCCAUCCCAAAAUGACAUCGAUCUGAAGAAAGGAAAAGAAAAAGGUAACUCCCAAUGUGUCUUUAAACAUUUGACUCAAAUUUGAGAUUUGGGGUUCGGCAAUCAGCUGAACCUCUUCCUCUCCUUUAUGUGCGCGCACACACACACACACACACACACAUUCUGUAGCAUGCGUGUCCUCAUUCAGCUGGCCAGCGAAGGAUAGGCAUAGUUGUUGCUGGCCCUGCCGGUGCUACAAUUUUGAUCAGACAGGUAUUAGAAGUUAAUUUCAGAAACAAAAUCAUAGCAGUUUCUGGCACAUAAGCCAACUCCAACCUAACCUUUCGAUGAGGAAAGGGUAAAGGAAUCUGAUAAACACAUUUAAUUUCCUGUGAAAUGAACAGGGAUUUAGAAACUAAGAGGGAAGUGGGAUUUAGAUACACACAUUUUGGGUUUUAUCUCACAGGACACAUAUAGCCCUUUUGUUCCAUUUGUCAUAGUUCCAGGCCCACCGGGUCUCACCUACCUUUGACAUGCACCUCCAUUACCUAUCUAAGCCUCAACCUCCCAGGGUCUCCCUCUGGACUCUCCCCUUCCUAGGGGAAAGAAGGCAAAGCAACACUGUUGUGAUGUGAUGGCCAGGACCGGGGUCACGUGGCCCACUCCAGAUCUGUCCCAGUGGUCACUGUCCCAGGUUCCUGUCCCACUUUCACACUUUGUGUAAACAUGAUACAAUUAUUUCUGGGGGAGAAAGGAGACUCUAAAAGGGACCCCUUUGUUACUCUUCAUGCACUGCUCCCCCAACCCCAGACCUGUUCACUUGAUCCUGGAAGGAAGAAACAAACUCUUAUUCCCUCUCAGGCUUCUGCUGAUAGUUGUUCUUCA